rnacentral:lncRNA from 1 species
CCGAAAGUAUCAUAAAAAACAAAGGGCAGCAUGCUUGUGCGAUCCUUAUCAGUAUCUGUCCAAAAAUGACUGUUUCAAGUUUAAGAAAAUGGGAUAAGACACCUUUAUAAAGAAAAGUUACAAGUACCCGUCUAACAGCUUACCAGUACCUCUUGUUAAGCUGUGGAGCAAUAAACUCAAGUAUAGCCAUAUUUAUGGUGUAAUCAGAAGUAUAUCAAGUUUAAGACUCCAACCAAAAUAACUAAAAAUUAGUUUUAAUAUAUAACUGUUAUUGGUAUAUGCGGAUAAAUUGACACCAGGAUACAUCUGUCUGUUGCGCGUUGCAAUUGAUACUAUGUUAUCAUGCUGCAAUGCUUAACUGUUGGAACAAAAUUGAUUUAAAAAUGUUUGCCCCUAAAUCUAUUAAGAUUUUGAUGAUAACAAAGUAUUAAUAAACAAUUGGAAGGACUAAAAAUUUAAUUUAAGUGUGCAGAUAUUAGCGUCAGAUAAGCUCUGAGUGAAGCUCAGAAGAUAUGCAUUCAGAAGUUUACAGGCGCUCAGAAGAUGUUGAACUUCAGAAGUUACAACCUUCAGAUAAUGAAGUCGUCAGAACUUCUUAAGUGUCCAAAGCUUCAUCACCCUCUGAAGAUCUUCUUGAAGUCUGUGAAGAUUCUCUUUUGUGAGUCAACUCUUCUACCAAUGAAGAAAA